UCCUACGGGACGCAGCAGUGAGGAAUAUUGGUCAAUGGUCGGGAGACUGAACCAGCCAAGCCGCGUGAGGGAUGAAGGUACAGAGUAUCGUAAACCUCUUUUGUCAGGGAACAAAGGCGGGGACGUGUCCCCGGAUGAGUGUACCUGAAGAAAAAGCAUCGGCUAACUCCGUGCCAGCAGCCGCGGUAAUACGGGGGAUGCGAGCGUUAUCCGGAUUUAUUGGGUUUAAAGGGUGCGCAGGCGGUCUGUUAAGUCAGCGGUCAAAUCCCGGGGCUCAACCCCGGCCCGCCGUUGAAACUGGCUGU
rnacentral:rRNA from 1 species